CCUACGGGCAGCAGCAGUGGGGAAUAUUGCGCAAUGGGGGCAACCCUGACGCAGCCAUGCCGCGUGAAUGAAGAAGGCCUUCGGGUUGUAAAGUUCUUUCGGUAGCGAGGAAGGCACUUAGUUGAAUAAACUAGGUGAUUGACGUUAACUACAGAAGAAGCACCGGCUAACUCCGUGCCAGCAGCCGCGGUAAUACGGAGGGUGCGAGCGUUAAUCGGAAUAAAUGGGUUUAAAGGGCACGGAGGCGGUGACUUAAGUGAGUUGUGAAAGUCUGCGGCUUAACCUUGGAAUUGCAAUUGAUACUGGCAGUCUAGAGUACAGUUGAGGUAGGUGGAAUUCGUGGUGUAGCGGUGAAAUGCUUAGAGAUGACGAAGAACCCCGAUUGCGAAGGCAGC
rnacentral:rRNA from 1 species